rfam:Felis catus isolate Cinnamon breed Abyssinian chromosome D2, whole genome shotgun sequence.
GCCUGGGUGGCUUAGUCAGUUAAGCAUCUGACUCUUGAUUUUGGCUCAGGUCAUGAUCUCAUAGUUUGUGGGAUCGAGCCCCACAUCAGGCU